GACGAACGCUGGCGGCGUGCUUAACACAUGCAAGUCGAACGGAAAGGCCCUGCUUUUGUGGGGUGCUCGAGUGGCGAACGGGUGAGUAACACGUGAGUAACCUGCCCUUGACUUUGGGAUAACUUCAGGAAACUGGGGCUAAUACCGGAUAGGAGCUCCUGCUGCAUGGUGGGGGUUGGAAAGUUUCGGCGGUUGGGGAUGGACUCGCGGCUUAUCAGCUUGUUGGUGGGGUAGUGGCUUACCAAGGCUUUGACGGGUAGCCGGCCUGAGAGGGCGACCGGCCACAUUGGGACUGAGAUACGGCCCAGACUCCUACGGGAGGCAGCAGUGGGGAAUAUUGCACAAUGGGCGGAAGCCUGAUGCAGCAACGCCGCGUGCGGGAUGACGGCCUUCGGGUUGUAAACCGCUUUCGCCUGUGACGAAGCGUGAGUGACGGUAAUGGGUAAAGAAGCACCGGCUAACUACGUGCCAGCAGCCGCGGUGAUACGUAGGGUGCGAGCGUUGUCCGGAUUUAUUGGGCGUAAAGGGCUCGUAGGUGGUUGAUCGCGUCGGAAGUGUAAUCUUGGGGCUUAACCCUGAGCGUGCUUUCGAUACGGGUUGACUUGAGGAAGGUAGGGGAGAAUGGAAUUCCUGGUGGAGCGGUGGAAUGCGCAGAUAUCAGGAGGAACACCAGUGGCGAAGGUGGUUCUCUGGGCCUUUCCUGACGCUGAGGAGCGAAAGCGUGGGGAGCGAACAGGCUUAGAUACCCUGGUAGUCCACGCUGUAAACGGUGGGUACUAGGUGUGGGGUCCAUUCCACGGGUUCCGUGCCGUAGCUAACGCUUUAAGUACCCCGCCUGGGGAGUACGGCCGCAAGGCUAAAACUCAAAGGAGUUGACGGGGCCCCGCACAAGCGGCGGAGCAUGCGGAUUAAUUCGAUGCAACGCGUAGAACCUUACCUGGGUUUGACAUGGAUCGGGAGUGCUCAGAGAUGGGUGUGCCUCUUUUGGGGUCGGUUCACAGGUGGUGCAUGGCUGUCGUCAGCUCGUGUCGUGAGAUGUUGGGUUAAGUCCCGCAACGAGCGCAACCCUUGUUCACUGUUGCCAGCACGUUAUGGUGGGGACUCAGUGGAGACCGCCGGGGUCAACUCGGAGGAAGGUGGGGAUGACGUCAAGUCAUCAUGCCCCUUAUGUCCAGGGCUUCACGCAUGCUACAAUGGCUGGUACAGAGAGUGGCGAGCCUGUGAGGGUGAGCGAAUCUCGGAAAGCCGGUCUCAGUUCGGAUUGGGGUCUGCAACUCGACCUCAUGAAGUCGGAGUCGCUAGUAAUCGCAGAUCAGCAACGCUGCGGUGAAUACGUUCCCGGG
rnacentral:rRNA from 1 species